ensembl:lncRNA
CCCCGGAUGUUUCAGAAACCUAGAAAUACUCCUGGAGGCGGGCGUUUCGACGCGACCGCAUGAUGAAAAGAAAAACACCAACACCCAGACAGUGUGCAGAGCAUCAAUCAGAGACAUGGUUUAAAGAAUUUGGCCUUUGGAAUACCUGUUCUUCCACAAAUACAUUCAGCCCAGAGCUGUUGUUCAGACUAGGUGUAUCACCCUUGGGUGAGUCAUGGGCCUCUAUAAAUACAAUCAAAACACUCACAAUGUGCACCAGUCUCUCAACUUCUUGAUCAGUAGUGUUGUGUACAGUGCCUGUCAACCAAACAGAUAAGAUGUCUGAGAAGAAAUGCGACAAGCUAGAGGAGUGUGUGCCCGAAGGAGAGUGUGAGGAUCGUGGAAAGGGUUGUGACAAGGGAAAGGGAAAGGAUGGCGACUCUGAUGGAGUAAGAAACCUUGCAUAUCUGCUGUAACCUUUUGAGUCUCAAUGGCUAUCCAACUUACUAUCCUACUUCCUCUUUGCUCCUUUUUUUUUCUUACAGGAAGGGAAGGUAAGAUAAUAAUAUACUUUAUAAUAAUGACAAUACACACAAAUAUAUAUAUACAUGUAAAUAUUUAGGCAUAUAUUUAUAUAUAUAAAUAUGCACACACAUAUAUAUAUAUAUUAUGUAGACAUACACGCAUAUAUAUAUACACAUCAACAAAUACAUAUGUAUUUAUUCUUUAACGUUUUCCUUUUAGUGCCAUGGAAAGUCGGGUGAACGUGGGGGACACGGACACGGAAGGGGAGGAGGCCCGGACUGUGGAGAGCGUGGUGGAAAGGGUGGUCGUGGGGGAAAGAACAACUAAUGACUUUGUUUUGUCUGAAGUAAAAUAAUAUAUAUAUAUAUAUAUAUAUAUAUAUAUAUAUAUAUAUAUAUAUAUAUAUAUAUAUAAAAGAGACUAACCCUAAACAAGCGUAUCUCCAAUUGUAAUCCAUUGCUUCAUUGUAUUCAAUAAAACAAUUUGACCCAAA